UGUACCAUUAGCUAGUAGGUAGGGUAAAGGCCUACCUAGGCAACGAUGGUUAGCGGGUCUGAGAGGAUGAUCCGCCACACUGGAACUGGAACACGGACCAGACUCCUACGGGAGGCAGCAGUGAGGAAUAUUGCGCAAUGGGGGAAACCCUGACGCAGCGACGCCGCGUGGGUGAUGAAGGCCUUCGGGUUGUAAAGCCCUGUCAGGUGGGAAGAAGUGCAUAAUGGCUAAUAUCCAUUAUGUUUGACGGUACCACCAAAGGAAGCACCGGCUAACUCCGUGCCAGCAGCCGCGGUAAUACGGAGGGUGCAAGCGUUGUUCGGAUUUACUGGGCGUAAAGGGCGCGUAGGCGGUCUUAUAAGCCAGAUGUGAAAGCCCACGGCUCAACCGUGGAAGUGCAUCUGGAACUGUGAGACUUGAGUAUGGGAGAGGAAAGUGGAAUUCCCGGUGUAGAGGUGAAAUUCGUAGAUAUCGGGAGGAAUACCGGUGGCGAAGGCGACUUUCUGGACCAAUACUGACGCUGAGGCGCGAAAGCGUGGGUAGCAAACAGGAUUAGAUAUCCUGGUAGUCCACAGCUGUAAACGAUGAUAACUAGGUAUAGGGGGUGUUGACCCCUUCUGUGCCGCAGCUAACGCAUUAAGUUAUCCGCCUGGGGAGUACGGUCGCAAGAUUAAAACUCAAAGGAAUUGACGGGGGCCCGCACAAGCGGUGGAGUAUGUGGUUUAAUUCGACGCAACGCGCAGAACCUUACCUGGUCUUGACAUCCCGAGAAUUUUCUAGAAAUAGUUAAGUGCCUCUUCACAGAGGAGCUUGGAGACAGGUGCUGCAUGGCUGUCGUCAGCUCGUGUCGCGAGAUGUUGGGUUAAGUCCCGCAACGAGCGCAACCCCCGCCUUUAGUUGCCAUCGUUAAGUUGGGCACUCUAGAGGGACUGCCGGUGUCAAACCGGAGGAAGGUGGGGAUGACGUCAAGUCCUCAUGGCCUUUAUGACCAGGGCUACACACGUACUACAAUGGCCGGUACAAAGGGCAGCGACACAGCGAUGUGGAGCGAAUCCCAUAAAGCCGGUCUCAGUCCGGAUUGGAGUCUGCAACUCGACUCCAUGAAGUUGGAAUCGCUAGUAAUCGUGGAUCAGCAUGCCACGGUGAAUACGUUCCCGGGCCUUGUACACACCGCCCGUCACACCACGAGAGUCGGUUGUACCAGAAGGCGUUGGGCUAACCCGCAAGGG
rnacentral:rRNA from 1 species